AAGCGUCGGUGUAGGUCCAAUAAACCAUAGAAGAAAAUUGAGAGCAAAAUAGAGUGCUCUAAGCCCAAGUGACCAAAACUGAACUUCCUCUUUGAACCGCUAUCUCGGCUUUUUUACCAUCGAUUCUCGUAGUAGCUCUCACAGUGCUUAACAAGUAGUUUGAAUGGACAAAGUGGCUAGUUGGUUGAACAAAGCAUGAAAAAGCAAGGAGAAAACAGGUCAAGAGGCAGAUGUACUUGAUAGAAAUAACUGAUCGGUGUGUUUUGCCAGAUAUUAUUUCUCUUGGGACGAAAUUGUUGGUGGAGUUAGCCAUCCAAGCUCCAAUGAGAAAGCAGAGAGUUAGAGAGAUUGCUGCUAAGUUUACUUGGAGGAAAUCACAGUAAAAGCUGGUAAAACAUUCUUCGUAGCAUCUUGGUCCUGCAGCCAUCAAAAGUAAACAAAUUACGGUUAAUAGCGUUUACGUACCCUUGCAGUCGAGGUCCUUCAAAUAUCGCUUGGAUUAAAAAAGGACACAUGAUGCUUCCUUCAGAAGUUUGCCAACCCAAUUCUUUUUGUCCAUGUUUUCGUAUCCAAUGGCAGUGGAAAGAGGCUGCAUGAGGUACUUGUAGAGGAGAGGAGGAAGAGGUGGUAAAUCAGCAUGAUUAGAACUCCAUAGUUUUCCGAUCUCUUGGUGCUAAAUGGCGAUGAGUAAGGGGUCUUCCUGUUCUAUUUAUAAAGGAAUGGUUCCGACCUUUCCUGUCCGGUCAAGUCCAAUCCAUGAUUCUUGGGAUAAGAUUUGGCCCAAAUCAGAAACUCGCAGAGAAUAUUCAGCAUGUAGGAGUCUCCACCUUGUAGUUUUGAGUUUGAAGAUUACCACUUGCUUUCGAUUUCGGCAACAGCUUUCAAUGUCAACUAUUAGUUGCAUCUAAAUGGAAACUGAAGCAAGCUCUACAAAUACAUCAAUCACCCUCUCUCCACUGUCAUUGGAUCUGAAAACAUUGACAACAAAAAUUGGGUUGGAAAAAUCUUGCAGGGUGAAGAUGUUCAAGUUGCAACGAAAGUUAAAACAACUUUUGAUGUCAUUUCCUCCAAUACAAGUGCAACUACGUCCUUAGCAUCAAUCUCUCUAACUCUGUGCUCUCUCAUUGGAGCUUGGAUGGCAAACUCCAUUAACAACUUCUUACCAAGUGAAAUAAUAUAUGGCAGCACAAACCCAUUAACCGUUUCUAUCAAGUGCAUCUGCAUCUUGACAUGUUUUCUCCUUGCUUUUUCAUGCUGUUCAAUCAGCUAGGCACUUUGUCCACUCAAACUACCUUUUAGCCACCCCAGGAGCCACCGCGAAAAGCGACGUGAAAAAAGCCGAGAGAGCAGUUGAAAGGGGAAGCGAGUUUUGGUCACUUGGGCUUAGAGCACUCUACUUUGCUCUCAAUUUUCUAUUGGGGUUUUUUGGACCUAUUCCCAUGUUAGCUUCAUCUGUCGCGACCAUCGUGAUCCUAUCUUGCCACGACUUUGAGAAAGUCCGGCGGUGGUUAGAAGUGACUGGCAUUGGAGGCCAUGGCUACAAACGAACUAUUAUUAGUGGUUUUUUGAGCGUCAAGUUUGUAGAGUUAAAUCAAAUUUUCAUUGAUCGUGAACGCAAUAAUUUCCAGUUACUUACGUUAUCAAUUAUGUACAACUUUAAAUCAAUGUGUGCAUCUCUCGUAUUCACUCGUAUUUGUUUAGCAUACCACUCCUCCUAUACAGAUUCUUCUUUUUCUGAAUUCGGAUUUCUUGAGCAUGCCCACCUGCAUGUUUAUCUCCCCCUCUUGAUAUGUGGUAAGGUUUGUGUCCCCUCUCGUUUUUUUGUAUUUUUUUAAAGAAGGGUAAGGUUUAUGUUCCUAUUUUUUUUUUUUUUGGUUUUCUUAUUUUAUGAGAGAGAAAUUUUAUGUCUUCCUGGCUAAGUAUAACUUCUUAUUUUCAGAUUCAUAAAUUUCUUUAGUAUCAUCGAGGUUCUAAAAAAAAGUUAAUGUGUGCUUCUAAUAUGGAGUAUGUACACAUGUGUUUUCACAAGGAUGUCCUAUAAAACAAGUUGCAUACAUAAGUUUGCUUUUAUUAUUGGGAAAAAAUAAUUUUAUUAGACCAAAAUUAAUUAAGCAAUACUGUCAAUUCAACUGCCUCUAAAUAAAAUAUAGAAACCAACAACUUGUCUUGGCUAUAUAUAAAGAGUAUUCAAACACACGUUUCAAGUUAGGUAAAAAUCCAACUUGUAGUGCAUAGGUUAUAGACAUCUCCAAGUACUAGCCAAUCAAUAUAAAUUUACUAAAAUAGUAGUUCCGACAACCGAUAAUAUUAGAGAAAAGCACUUGAGAGAUCAAACUACAAUAAAAGAGAAACCUCUUCAUCUAUAAUGCGUUAGUAGUCGAGUGCAAUAACAGUUGAUUUUUUUUUUUUUUUUUUUUUCAAAACGAGGAUGCUAGGUGCUUAUUUGUAAUAAUCAUAAUAAAUUCCAAUCUACUAACAAAAUUUUGGGCCAUUGAAGGGAAAUUUUGAAGUUAAUCUCCCAAUUUCUAGCUUCCAAAACUCUUUCGUGGUGUUUGUAAGACAUUGGUUCUUUUUUAAUCAAAUUAUUGGUUUUUUUUUAAUCAAAUAGCACUACUAGCUAAGGAAACCUACUACCUAACAACUCCAAACAAACAUGCAUACACGAUUGAAAAUUACGCUGUACUACUAGUCGUAGUUUUAACCGUUUCUGUAUCAUGCUGAAUGGUCACAGCCACCUCUGAGAUUCUCUCGCCGGUGUGUUUAACGAGCUCCUUUCCCGGAAGGUGAUGCUGAUGCAGUGGUCUGGUGUUUGUGUCAAGGUUAUGUAGAACUAUGACCAAAACCAUGGAGGAAACAAACAUCGGAAUCGGACCAAAAAACCACAGCAAAAGAGUAAGAGCAAAAUAGAGUGCUCUAAGCCCAAGUGACCAAAAAUCACUUCCCCUUAUCACCGCCAUCUGCACGUACCACGCCGGAAUGUUACUAUCUGGCAUGCUGAUCAGGUAGUUCGCAUGGACAAAGUGCCUUGCCGAUUGAACAAAGCAUGCAAAGGCUAGAAGAAAACAAGUCAAGAGGCUUAUGUAUUUUAUUGUGAGGAUUGAUGGGUUGGUGUUGCCAUAGAUCAAUUCACUCUGGAAGACUGUCUUAGUUGAAUUACUUCCGAGCCAAGCUCCAAUGAGGGAGCUGAGAGUUAAGGAGAUGGAACACA